UACGUAGGGGGCAAGCGUUGUCCGGAUUUAUUGGGCGUAAAGAGCGUGUAGGCGGUUCGGUAGGUCCGUUGUGAAAACUCGAGGCUCAACCUCGAGACGCCGAUGGAAACCCUCGAACUAGAGUCCGGAAGAGGAAAAUGGAAUUCCUGGUGUAGCGGUGAAAUGCGCAGAUAUCAGGAAGAACACCCGUGGCUAAGGCGGUUCUCUAGUACGGUACUGACGCUGAGACGCGAAAGCGUGGGGAGCGAACAGG
rnacentral:rRNA from 1 species